UUGAAUCCCUUGGUUGAUCCCUUUUGGAGAGCUUGGUAUGGAAACCUACUAAGCGAGAACUUUCAAAUUCAGAGAAACCCUGGAAUUUAAAAUGGGCAAUCCUGAGCCAAAUCCUGUUUUACGAAAAUAAACAAAGGUUCGGAAAGAAAGAAUUAUUUAAAUAAAAAAAGGGAUAGGUGCAGAGACUCAAUGGAAGCUGUUCUAACAAAUGGGGUUUGACUACCUUUGCGUUAGUAAAGGAAUCCAAUCCUUCUAUCGAAACUACAGAAAGGAUGAAGGAUAAACCUAUACGCAUACCUAAAGGUAAUAAAAAACUAUCUCAAAAAAAAGACGACCCAAACCCGUAUUUAUAUAUAUUUUUCAUUUUUAUGAAAAAUAAAAUAGAAAUAUAAAGAAUUGUUGUGAAUUAGUAUUGAUUCUAAGUUGAAGAAGGAAUCAAAUACAACAUUCAUUAAUAAAAUAAUUCACCCCAUAGUUUGAUAAAUCUUUUGAACAACUGGUUAAUCGGACGAGAAUAAAGAUAGAGUCCCGUUCUACAUGUCAAUAUCAAUACUGACAACAAUGAAAUUUAUAGUAAGAGGAAAAUCCGCGACUUUUAAAAUCGUGAGGGUUCAAGUCCCUCUAUCCCCA
rnacentral:ncRNA from 1 species